CCAAGCUGGAUUUUGACGUAAUUUCUUCUGAUGUAGCUAGCAGUUGGUAGAGGUGUGUUUAAAUAUCGGCAGCACCCUGACAGCGAUUAGAAUGUCCUCCGUGUGCUAGUCUUCUUGAUCCUUGAAUUCCGUGGAGCUCAAAUCGACAACAAAGCUUUGUGGAACUGAUUAGGUGUUAGUAUAAAUAUCUAGCCUUUAUCAUGUUGAGCCUCCUCAAUAAAUGCUACUUUCUUUGGUAGGAUCACAAUUUUAUUUUUAUAUUUUCAUUUUUAUAGAGCAGAAGAAUAUUGUCGGUGUUUUCCCCCGGGGGGUCACACCAACGAGUAAAACUUGUGUGCGUGUUCCCUUUCCCAGAUGGUGAUGCAAGAAAGACACAAAGAUUUAUCCUGGUUCGGGCAAGAGAAGGCCUACGUCCAGCGGGGGAUGUUUCUAUUAUCUUGCACCUAAGUGCUUGUACUGGGGCGAAUACAAGUUGGUGUUGUGAUGGAUCCUAAGUUCUAGACCGAGGUAGUGUGUCGUUGUCCUCUACGUAUCUCUUCCUAUGCCUCCCCUUUUAUAGUCCAAGGAGAGACCUAGGUUACAUGGCGUAGGUGACAGAGUAGGGGUCAAUAGGGGCGUGGCACGCUGACGUACUCGAGGCUUCCGUACCGGCGUGGCCUCGAGCCGUCUUGUUACACAGUAUUUGGGUGA
rnacentral:lncRNA from 1 species